GAGUGCAUGACUUGGAACAGGCUUUCCUUCGGGACUCUUUCAAGGUGCUGCAUGGUUGUCGUCAGCUCGUGCCGUGAGGUGUCGGGUUAAGUCCCAUAACGAGCGCAACCCCUAUCAUUAGUUGCCAGCGGGUCAUGCCGGGGACUCUAAUGAAACUGCCGGUGUAAACCGUGAGGAAGGUGGGGAUGACGUCAAAUCAGCACGGCCCUUAUGUCCAGGGCUACACACGUGUUACAAUGGCCAGUACAAUGGGCAGCUACCAGGUGACUGGAUGCUAAUCUCCAAAGCUGGUCUCAGUUCGGAUCGGAGUCUGCAAUUCGACUCCGUGAAGUUGGAUUCGCUAGUAAUCGUAUAUCAGCAAUGAUACGGUGAAUACGUUCCCGGGCCUU
rnacentral:rRNA from 1 species